GAGUUGCGAAUACGGGUCGCGGUGGGUCUGGCUGCUGUACUUUCUUCGCCUGCAGAAUUCAAUUUCUCAGACAUAUUUCAUUGCCGUUGAAAAGUUUUACUCAAACCCAACCCCACCAAAGAGCACUUUGUUUUGUUCGUCAUUCGUCAAUUUCACCAGUCAUUUAUUUUCUCAAGAGAAUUGGUGAAAGUUUUAGAGAUUUGUGUGGUCGUGGACUUGUGAAAUUUGGCCAGAGACCAAGAGACCGCUCCGACUGUUCCACAGCCUCCGUCGCCACCGCCGCACUUUACCGUUUGCCCCAACUACGCCAACCAAGGCUUCCAGCUAGCAGCAUUUGAGUCAGUUGUUCCUUUCAAAGUGAGCACGUCGUCGAAGGACCGAGCGGAUGGUGGAAGGCUGCUACUAGCCCUUCUUUUAUCUGACUUAUACGCAGUACAGAGUCCACGAUGGAGGAGGCUGGUGAAAGCCGAGUGAGACUGUUGCUGUGAGCAUCAACGCUUUCUGGCUGGGAGCGUGUGUGGGAAAGGAUAGCGUGACAGGGAAGCAAACGGGACACCGAAUUUCGCCUGUGAGAACUUUCUCUUUCUACAUAUGCAGCUCGCACCAACGCUUUUGCUGCAGUCGAUCACUCCCUCCUCACCAGGAGAGCACGUUACGAGGAAAGGAGUCGGAGCUCUGGAUUUCCCCUGGCUUCCACCACUACCACGAAACGCUACGCCAAGUCGACGGCUGAUCCUGCUACGUACACAUUUGCUAAAUACAUACAAGAGCAAAAGGGUCAGUGGUGAUCAGUGACUAUAACCAGGAUCGCGUGCUGCUGGUUGGGGACUCCAAUUUCAUGGCGAUUGGUGGCAGUUUUAGUGACGAGUAGUGGACUGGUUGGAAGAGUGGAGGGAAAAUCAGUACAGUCGCAGUCGUCGUAUUGUUACUGCAUUUAUAAACUUGUAGCAGCCGUGUUGAUGUUGGGCAGAGGAGAAGAAACUGUGACCGAGAACGAGGUCAUGAAUAUUCAAUGGAGCAAAAACACUGGGAUAGAAGUCAUCUGGGAUUAGAAUAAAAUAUUAAACAAUGAGACUUCUCCCGUCUAAAUCUACUACUGCUGCUGCUGCUCCUGCCUCAAGCUCCGACUAACCAGAACUUUCACUUCACCAGAACCAGAGCCAACUAUAUCAAUUUAUAUUUUGUUUGGCUUUUCUCAUGCCGACACAUCCAUAAAUUCAUGAUCUUCUGCUCGAUACUCGACAAGCCAUUAGAUCUACUUUUCGCUCUAGUUUACUCUUCAGUCGAGUCAACUUAAUUUGAGAUUUGACCGCUUCACCAACAUCCGUAGAUCCACAUCUAACCUUCAAAGCAGGUCUGUCACGACUUUCUUUCUGGUCGUCCUUUUUCUACAGAGGUCUCUGUUUUUAAGACAUUAUCCUCAAUUUGUUUGUGCUACCGGUCGAUAUAUGUACACGGACGCUUGAUACUAAGCACCUUCUUCUGCCUGUAACCAAUCCUUCUUCCCCCCGAGUACAUUUUUGGUGUUUGAAUCACGUUGAGCAGACUGGCGCUGAGUGAACAUGCAUCAGCUCAAUGGACGAUGAAUGAACAAACGUUAUAAAAUGUGAAGGCGUUAUUUCAGCCCAAAAAAGGAAAUUGUGACGAUGUUGAAUUUUGAGUGUCGGAUGGGGAAGCAAGGUGCUAGGGAAUUGAUUUGACUCAGUAAUCUGGAACCAGUCAAGCAAAAGGAAGAGAUUACAGGAUUACGCGUCGGUGUCGGAUUGUGGGCUUUUGAUUCUUGGGCAGUGUAGAACAUGGACGACAAUUUCUACGAGGAUGAUGAUUUGGUGGUGUCCAGUCAACCGGAUAGAAAUUGGAAGGGAAUCAUUAUUGCCGUAUUGGUGAUAGCAUCAGUAUGCAGUCUCAUCGUGACCUCUGUGUAUCUGCUCACUCCUCCGGAAGAGGGCCCGCGUGUGAAGGGAAGACGAUUAGAGCUUCAGGACAUAUUUAGUCAUGAAUUUCAGCCUUAUCACCUCAACGGAUCUUGGAUAGGGGACGAAUGGAUAUAUCGUGACGCAUCGGGGGGGAUUUCUCUAAUGGAUAUAAAAAAUGCAAAUCUUAGCAUUCGCGUUCUCGUCAGCAACUUCACUUUUAGACGUUUCAAUGCGGUGUCAUUCAGCCUUUCUCGGGAUCCCCUUCGUUUCGUUCUAUUUACUCAUGAUAUUCUCAAGACUCACCGGUUUUCGUUCAUAGCUAAAUAUACUCUCUUCGAAAUCGCUACGGGGGAAACACAAGAAGUUUCCAUCGAGCACUCCCCAUCCUCUGAAGAAUAUACAUUCCAAUUAGUAAAAUGGGCUCCUACUGGAAACGGAUUAGUUUUAGUUCACAACGGAGACAUUUACUACAAAGCAAAUCCAAAAGACAAGAAAAGCAAUAGAAUUACAUACAGCGGACAGCCUGGCGUGAUCUUCAACGGGAUACCAGACUGGUUGUAUGAAGAAGAGAUUUUUGGGAGCAACUCUGCCCUCUGGUUUUCCUCGGAUGGUCAAAGUUUACUUUAUUUGACAUUCAAUGACUCGCUGGUUGGGGAACACCACAUUUUGGAAUAUGGGACGGUGGAUGAGCCCUAUCUCUACCCACGCAUCAAGUCACUGCGAUACCCAAAGCCGGGAACAAAUAAUCCUACCGUGAAGGCGAGCAUUGUGGACCUUCGGUUUCCAACAAGAACGAGAGAGAUCAUUCCUCCUGACGGGAUGUCAGAAUUAGAGCAUUACAUAACAGCAGCAGGAUGGAUUCGCAGCACAGACGUGAUCAUAGUUUGGACAUCCAGAGCAUACAAUUUGUCGCUAAUAUCCAUAUGCUCAACAAAGAGUGGAAGAUGCGAAGAGGUGUAUCGAAUCACUGCCGAGAAGCGCGGAUGGGUGGAGACAGUGCAACUCCCAAUUUUCACAAAAAAUGUCAAUUCGAAAAACUUCAUCGCUAUCGCACCCAUUCGCGAUGGUGAAAAUGGAUUCUUUGAUCAUUUGAUCUUCGUUGACACUUUGAAUCAACGGAGUCAUCCUGUGACUUUUGGGAAUUUCGAUGUCGUUAAGAUUAACGCCUGGGAUGAGGAGAAUAAGCUUGUGUAUUACACUGCGACACCCUCUACUCAUCCGGGACAAAGGAGGUUGUUCAGAGUGAAAAUGGAACAGCCUUAUACGGAACACGUUCCAUCCUGCCUCCUGUGCCAGGAACUGAAUGACAGCAUUUCUACACCAGCGAGGAACGGAAGGACCACAAAGUCGCCAAAAGUUAUUAAAGGGAAAGACGAACUUGCACCACCUCCAAAAAAGACAGGUCAGAAACAGCAACAGGAUGGGCGAAUAAGUCCCAAGCCUACACCUCCCCCGAAGGGGAAAGUUGGUGGGAGUGACACCAGUACCGUCGUGACCAACAACCGCAGUUGUUCAUUUGUUACCAACAUGAAAUUCAAUGUGGAUAAAACCUUCUUGGUUCUUGAAUGUUCAGGACCUCAAAUUCCGUUUGUCGCGUUGUAUUCCACUUUUGGGGAUGAAAACUCUACAACUCUUUCAACUGAAAAAAUUAUCGGACCCCACUUGCGCCUUAUCUCGAUCCUUCAAAGUAACGAGGCCCUCAUUCAGCGCAGCAAUACUGUUGCCUAUCCGCAAAGCCGAGUGUUUUCGGUGCACUUAAUGGCUGGGCAUACUGUUCAAGUCAAACUAUUAUUACCCCCAGGACUAAGAGAGGAGGAAAUAACGAAAUAUCCGCUAGUGCUGAACGUGUAUGGAGGUCCUGGCACACAAUUAGCCAUUGAACGAUGGAAUAUUGACUUUGCAACUUAUCUGGCUAGUAAAAAGAACUAUAUUGUGGCACAAGUUGAUAGUCGUGGCAGUGGUGGUCGAGGUUGGGACUUCCAACAUCAAGUUUAUUAUAGACUGGGAGAGCUCGAAGUGACUGAUCAAAUUGAAGUCAUAAGACAUCUGCGAGACUCCUUACAUUUUGUGGACCAGAAGAGAGUUGGCAUCUGGGGGUGGAGCUAUGGGGCUUAUCUCACUGCCAUGAUCAUGACCAGUAAAGAGUCCAAUGAUUUGUUCCAGUGCGGAGCUUCAAUUGCCCCCGUUUCCAAUUGGAAGUUAUAUGAUUCUGCCUACACCGAGAGGUACAUGGGAAAGCCCAACGUGAGCGACAACUACAAGGGAUACGCGGAUAGUGAUGUGACCAAGAAUGUGGAACCGUUGGCGUCUAAAAUGUUUUUCCUUGCCCAUGGGACUGCCGACGAUAAUGUUCACAUUCAGCACAGCAUGCUUUUGGCCAAAGCUCUCAUUGAAAAGAAAAUUCUUUUCAGGCAACAGGUGUAUGCAGAUGAAGGUCACAGUUUGAAUGGUGCCAAGUACCAUGUGCACAAGUCGAUGGAAAGUUUUUUCGAGGAUUGUUUCAAGAAGCAGAAUCUACCAAAUGCAGGAAUUGGAUUAAACAAAGGAGGAAAAUUUGAUGAAUAUGACGAAUAAUAAGAAAAAUAAUCCUGAUGAGAGCAACCUUUUGGUGAAAUAUGACUCGUUGCAACCGAAUUCCUAUCUCAUAAGAACGUUAGCUUUCUGGAAUUUCUUCCAUAUUUGUGCCCUGAUAUUUAACAACACUAUUUUAGGAGUUGAACCUAUAUGCUCUUCAAUGUAUGUGAUUUAUGGUAAUUCCGAAAUUGUUGAAAUGACUCUAGUCAACCAAUAAUACGCAGUGCUAUGCAAAACCACCACCGUUGUUUGAACUGUCCGUGAUGUGCUAUUACUGUUAUUUGUAUCUACAUACACACAAAAUUGUGAACGUUGUCUGUGUUGUCUGGUGGAUGAUAUUCGUGUUGUUGUGACCUCGUCUAGAGAGCUUUUACUUUGCAAUUUGCAAGUGUUGACAUGCUUCCCUUGACUGACCUGAGAACCUCAGAAUGCCAAAAAAGCUGUAGAAGUCGUCCGACAAUGCUGAUAUGUACAUGAAUCCUUGAAAUAGUUCUUAACACAAUGUUUGUUUUUACUCGUUCAUUUUAUUUCCAAUUUCAGUCAGAAAGCAAUACCGGUUUACGUAUAUUAAAUACAUAUGUAUGUAAUUUGAUGAUAUAGUAAAUUAUAGUGUCUUAAUUUAAAAGUAUUUAUAGGAAGAUAACAUUUUAAACUUUGACCAGAGUUAAGCGACGAGAUUCUAACGUUAAAGAUACCUUAGCGUUUCAUUAAAUAUGUAUUUUAUCAACCUAAAAGAAUACACUAAUGUAUUUAGAAUGACUGCGAAUGAGUAAUUUUUCGUAACCUCCUCCUCGUCGUCGUCUUUAGUGGUUAUUAACGUCCGCUAUUCACUCUCUUGUCGACUUUAUCUAAAUUUCAGCUCUGUUUGAAUCACAUUCAGUACCUAUAAUAUUGGCUAAAAUAAAACAUUUCAAUUAA